UCUCUCUCUCCCCAAGCCUGCUGCCUUGUUGGACUGAGCAACUGCUAGAUCCUUGGACUUCCAUUCACAGCUGCAGCUGACCAUUGUUGGGAGUUGGACUGCUGACUGAGGCCAAUUGGCAGAGGGAAACAUGCAGAUCUUCGUGAAGACCCUGACAGGCAAGACCAUCACUUUUGAGGUGGAGCCCAGUGACACCAUCAAGAAUGUCAAGGUCAAGAUCCAAGACAAGGAAGGCAUCCCAGUUGACCAGCAGAGGCUGGUAUUUGCCGGCAAACAGCUGCAGGAUGGACGCACCCUUUCCAACUACUACAUCCAGAACCAUUCCACCUUGUACCUGGUGCUGCGUCUGCGAGGUGGCAUCCUUGAGCCCUGCCAGUGUCAGCUUGCCCAGAAGGACAAGUAACAAGAUGAUCUGCUGCAAGUGCUACACAUGCCUGCACCC